GCCGCGGUAGCUCAAUUGGUAGAGCGUCGCACGCGAAAUGCGAAGGUUGUGGGUUCGGUUCCCACCUGCGGCA
rnacentral:tRNA from 1 species